rnacentral:rRNA from 1 species
CCUACGGGAGGCAGCAGUGGGGAAUCUUGCGCAAUGGGGGAAACCCUGACGCAGCAACGCCGCGUGGGUGAUGAAGGCCUUCGGGUCGUAAAGCCCUGUCAGGUGGGAAGAAACUUGUGGAUGUUAAUACCGUCCACACUUGACGGUACCACCGGAGGAAGCACCGGCUAACUCCGUGCCAGCAGCCGCGGUAAUACGGAGGGUGCAAGCGUUGUUCGGAAUUAUUGGGCGUAAAGCGCGUGUAGGUGGUCAGGUAAGUCAGAUGUGAAAGCCUUCUGCUUAACAGAAGAAGUGCAUUUGAAACUGCUUGGCUAGAGUACGGGAGAGGAGAGUGGAAUUCCCGGUGUAGAGGUGAAAUUCGUAGAUAUCGGGAGGAACACCAGUGGCGAAGGCGGCUCUCUGGUCCGAUACUGACGCUGAGACGCGAAAGCGUGGGGAGCAAACAGGAUUAGAUACCCUGGUAGUCCACGCCGUAAACGAUGGGCACUAGGUGUAGGAGGUAUUGACCCCUUCUGUGCCGAAGCUAACGCAUUAAGUGCCCCGCCUGGGGAGUACGGCCGCAAGGCUAAAACUCAAAGGAAUUGACGG